rnacentral:misc_RNA from 1 species
AGGCAGUUCAGAGACACCAGGAGAUUGACGUGGAUGAUGUUGAUGAAGAAGAUGGGGAGAUGUUGCCGCCGCAUGAGAUUGUCGCAAGAAGUCUGGCUCAGUCGCCGAUGUUGUCUUGCUCGGUGCUCGAGGGUGCAGGAAGGACGUUAAAGGGGAGGGAUCUUCGACAAGUUCGCAACGCGGUUUGGAGACGAACAGGUUUUCU